GGGAGGAGCUGGGGCAAAGCUGAAGGGGAUGGCUCUGAGGCCCUGGGAGCCCAGGCCAGAUGGGCUCAGCCAGCUCCUUGGUGGAGGCCAGGCAGUGCCCUUUUGAGCCCCUGACCUAGGCCAGGCCGCGGCGGGAGGCGGGGAGCGGGCAGGGCCUCUGGGCCGAGUCCUGCACCUUGGGGCGACCGCCCAGGCCCGCUCCCCUCCUCCAAGCCACCCUGGGACUGGUGGCUGAGUCCCUGGGGGCAGUCUUUGUGGGAUGUUUUCUGCAGGUGAGAGGAAGGAUCCCCGCCGGGUGUCUUGCUGCCUCUGGCACCUGACCUGUUCCAGACAAAGCCACCUUCCGCUCAGAAGUCUUUUCCUGUCCUCUCCCAGGCAUAGCUGCGGCAUCCCCUGCUCCGCCUGGCCCGAGUGUCAGGCCCUCGUGUCUGUGAGUUCUGGUGGCACUCUGUACCUGCCCGCCCCGUCCUCCCCAGGGCUCGUCCUCCCCAGGGCUCUUCCUCCCGGGCGGGUGGCUGCUGUCCCGGAGACCGUGGCCCCUGCAGGGGCGCAGAGUCCCUUGAAGGCAAGGACAGAGUCUCCUCGGCUCUGUAAGCCCGGUGCCCGGUGGUUGCUCUGGAAAAGUGGCCUCGGCAGAGGCCUGCUCUCUCUCCCAGGGGGCUGCGCGUCCUCUCUCCUUCCAGAAGCCCGAGGACACAGGACUGCUGGCCAUGAGGUGAGGGACAGAGGGUGUCUUUGUGGAUUUUCAGCCUCAGGGCUGCGGGGACCCUAAGGCUCACGCGAUACCCAGCUCCCUCCUGCCGGCGGCCCCUCCUGGGCCUGUCGCCCUCGGAAGGGUGUCCAGCUGUGGCCAGGCAGCCCAGAGUCUCCUGGGAGUGACGUCACAUCACCAGGGAGGGUCCCCGGGUGGUGGGCCCUGGUGUCGCCCCGAAUGCUGUCGUUGGAGCCCAGGGCACCUGCUCAGAGUCAGCUCCCCUUUCCGGCCCCGUGCCCGGGUCACCAGCAGAACUCACGGUGCCCGCCGCCCUUCUAAGCACUGGCCUUUGGGCCCCUUCUAGUCCCCAGCGACUGGGAUCCAUCCAGCCCCCGGCUCCAGCUGCCCCCUGGGAACUGGCCAUGUCCACGCCUGGGUGCUCCCCUCCCUGGCUCUGCCAGCCCACCCAGUUUGGCCCUGGCCAUCGUCCUGCCCCUCCCUCCUGCUCCAGGGAUUCCUCCCCGGGCCGCUCUUCUCUGCGCCUGGCGCCCGCCCUGCUCUCCUCCUUUGCAGAGAGCCUGGGGUGGCAUCUUUGAGGCCCAGAGAGGGUCCCAUUGCGCAGCUGCCGCGUGUUCUGGGGCCCCCCGGGCUGGGAUCGGCUUGACCCCGUUUCCCGGUUGCCCGGGAGUCCUUGCCAGGGCCGCUUUCCUCUGGGAGAGGCCUUUGGCCCGUCGUUCUACUGAGCUGCUUGUCGUCUUUGUGCCGAGUCGUGGGAGCUCUUCCUGGGGUCUGGGUGGGAAUGCGGCCUGGGGCCUUGUGUUCCAGCCGCUUCCUCCUGCCCCUCGCGGGCCGGUUUCCUCCUCUCUUUGCAGGCCGCUUUGGACGCGGGGUUCGCCUAGACGCUCUGAAUUGGAAGCGCCCCAGAGGUCGGGGAGUGUCCUACCCGCUGCGGGCCCCUGGGCCACUCCCAACCCGCGACGUGGGGCGGCGGCCCCCGAGGAGGAGGUGGCCUUGGGUCCAGCUCUGGGGCCUUGAGGAAGGGCCCCUUCUGGUCUGUGUAAGUGACUGGGGCGCCGCC
ensembl:lncRNA